rnacentral:rRNA from 1 species
GAUGAACGCUAGCGGAAGGCUUAAUACAUGCAAGUCGAGCGGUAGGUGGCUUCGGCCAUUGAGAGCGGCGCACGGGUGAGUAACGCGUACAUGACCUGCCUGUCAGAAGGGGAUAGCCCUGGGAAACUGGGAUUAAUACCCUAUGGUAUUGAUAUUAUGAAUGAUAUCAAUUAAAGUUGAGGCGCUGACAGAUGGAUGUGCGUCUGAUUAGCUAGUUGGCAGGGUAACGGCCUACCAAGGCGACGAUCAGUAGGGGGCGUGAGAGCGUGGUCCCCCACACGGGUACUGAGACACGGACCCGACUCCUACGGGAGGCAGCAGUAAGGAAUAUUGGUCAAUGCCCGCAAGGGUGAACCAGCCAUUCCGCGUGGAGGAUGAAGGCCCUAUGGGUUGUAAACUUCUUUUAGAUGGGAAGAAAAUGCUAGAUGUAUCUGGUACUGACGGUACCAUCAGAAUAAGCACCGGCUAAACUCCGUGCCAGCAGCCGCGGU